rnacentral:tRNA from 1 species
GCUCCCAUCGUCUAGUGGCCUAGGACGCGGCCCUCUCAAGGCUGAAACACGGGUUCGAGUCCCGUUGGGAGCACCA